GCUCACCUGUCACAAAGUGACAGGGUGAGCUUUUGUGAUCGCGUGGCGUCCGUCGUCCGUCGUCCGUGCGUCAGUGCGUGCGUGCGUGCGUAAACUUUUGCUUGUGACCACUCUAGAGGUCACAUUUUUCACGGGAUCUUUAUGAAAGUUGGUCAGAAUGUUCAUCUUGAUGAUAUCUAGGUCAGUAGAUCUAAAAAUAGAAAAACCUUGUGACCUCUCUAGAGGCCAUAUUUUUCAUGAGAUCUUCAUGAAAAUUUGUCAGAAUGUUCUCCUUGAUGAUAUCUAGGUCAAGUUCGAAACUGGAUCACGUGGGGUCAAAAACUAGGUCAGUAGGUCUAAAAAUAGAAAAACCUUGUGACCUCUCUAGAGGCCAUAUUUCUCAAUGGAUCUUCAUGAAAAUUGGUCAGAACGUUCACCUUGAUGAUAUCUAGGUCAAGUUCGAAACUGGGUCACGUGGGGUCAAAAACUAGGUCAGUAGAUCUAAAAAUAGAAAAACCUUGUGACCUCUCUAGGGGCCAUAUUUUUUAUAAGAUCUUCAUGAAAAUUGGUCAGAAUGUUCAAUUUGAUGAUAUCUAGGUCAAAU